CCAGCAGCUGCGGUAAUUCCAGCUCUAAUAGCGUAUAUUAAAGUUGUUGCAGUUAAAAAGCUCGUAGUCGGAAGUCGGGCUCGGGCAGGCUGUCGGCCUCGGUUGGGCAGCUUGCUUGGGUCUUCUAGCUCGGGGGCCCCGUGCCAUUUAACCGUGGUGCGCGGGAACACGGGCCGUUUACUUUGAAAAAAUUAGAGUGUUCAAAGCAGGCCUACGCUUGAAUACAUUAGCAUGGAAUAAUGGAAUAGGACUUUGGUGCUAUUUCGUUGGUUAAUGGGACCGAAGUAAUGAUUAAUAGGGAUAGUUGGGGGCAUUAGUAUUUAGUUGUCAGAGGUGAAAUUCUUGGAUUUGUUAAAGACUAACUUAUGCGAAAGCAUUUGCCAAGGAUGUUUUCAUCAAUCAAGAACGAAAGU
rnacentral:rRNA from 1 species